GUCGUUUGGUCCCAAAUUUCAUAGGUUGCUUCGUCUCGACACCUUGAGUCUGAAUCCAACCUCCAUUUUCCCAAAAAAUACACCAAA